rnacentral:lncRNA from 1 species
UAGCCUUCAUUUUCCAUCUUCAAGACUAAAAUCCUAACCUAUCUUCUUCUUCACAACAACACAAAACCUAGCUUCUUGAACUUCAUCUUCCUCUUCUCAACCAUGUCUUACAAAAAAUGCCAACCGUAACGAGCAAGCUAACACCUCCAUAACCUCCGACCACCCCAGAAGUUCCGCCGCCAAACGACCACCAUGAAUGUCUGAAAUCGUCGAAGACCCCUUGAAAUCCGCCUUCUUCCCCCCAAACGACCCCAUUGUUCAGUUUCUCCUUCAAGAAAAAGACUCAACCCUUCACCACCUCCAAGCCUCCAUCGAAGACCACCAAGAAACAUCAACGAGGACCCGCCGCCUUUACCCGCCUAAAAUCCACCGGAAAAUCGCCGCCGUCGUCGUUAAAUUGAACUCUAACGUGAAACGACACCCAUGACUGUUUCUUCUCUUUCUUGAACAAGACCAUCAGACAUUUUUAAACCACUCCAAGAAGCUCUAGCCGCAACACCAAACGGCACCCUUUCUUUUUCAUCUCAUCACCACCCAAACUCUAUCGCUACUCCAGCCCAACCAGUCGACAAACCAGCUCCACGCCGCAACAAACAAAGCCAAACGACCCUCCAAAUCUUUAUCUUCUUCUUCAUUUUUGAAUACUCACACACACAUUGAAGCCGAGAAACAGAGGAACAAAACUCACAUUGUGAAAUGCAGAUCUGAAACUAAAAAGGGAGAUUAGAAUUAUGAAAUAAGGGUUAAACAAGUUUUGGUUUCGUUUGAGCCGAGUUUGGUCUGAAUUCUGGUAUAGAUUCAAAAGAGGUCGUCGUUCAUGGUCCCCGAUGCUGAUUCCUGUUCCUAUUCACUGUUUGUUUAAUUUUGAGUUCAAAACUGCCUCAUCAUUAAAUUUCAGAUUUUGCUUAACCUCGUGAUCCCGUUGUUUAAUUAGUUUAUCCUCGCUCAGUUUCGCUGAUUGUGUGAGUUACACUUUGUUGGUUCGUUUUUGGAAUGUCAUAAUAGUGUUUGUUUACUCAAUUUUUAUGUGCUGAUUACUAUUAGCAUAUUGUGUGUUUUAAUUAGCUUGGAUGAAUCUUCAUGGGUGAAAUGAUUUUUAGUUUUUUCUGUUCACUACUUUAAUGGAAUAAAUGCUUAUGGUUUCACAA